AUUGAACGCUGGCGGCAUGCCUUACACAUGCAAGUCGAACGGCAGCACGGGAGCAAUCCUGGUGGCGAGUGGCGAACGGGUGAGUAAAGUAUCGGAACGUGCCCAGUCGUGGGGGAUAACGUAGCGAAAGUUACGCUAAUACCGCAUACGAUCUAUGGAUGAAAGCGGGGGAUCGCAAGACCUCGCGCGACUGGAGCGGCCGAUAUCAGACUAGGUAGUUGGUGGGGUAAAGGCUCACCAAGCCGACGAUCUGUAGCUGGUCUGAGAGGACGACCAGCCACACUGGGACUGAGACACGGCCCAGACUCCUACGGGAGGCAGCAGUGGGGAAUUUUGGACAAUGGGCGAAAGCCUGAUCCAGCCAUGCCGCGUGCAGGAUGAAGGCCUUCGGGUUGUAAACUGCUUUUGUACGGAACGAAAAGGUUUGGCCUAAUAAGCUGAGCUCAUGACGGUACCGUAAGAAUAAGCACCGGCUAACUACGUGCCAGCCGCCGCAGUAA
rnacentral:rRNA from 1 species